GAUGAACGCUAGCGAUAGGCUUAACACAUGCAAGUCGAGGGGCAGCAUGGUCUUAGCUUGCUAAGACUGAUGGCGACCGGCGCACGGGUGCGUAACGCGUAUGCAACUUGCCUCACAGAGGGGGAUAACCCGUCGAAAGACGGACUAAUACCGCGUACACUCCAUCUUGGGCAUCCAAGGUAGAGGAAAUGAAAUUCGCUGUGAGAUAGGCAUGCGUCCCAUUAGCUAGUUGGUGAGGUAACGGCUCACCAAGGCGACGAUGGGUAGGGGAACUGAGAGGUUGAACCCCCACACUGGGACUGAGACACGGACCAGACUCCUACGGGAGGAAGCAGUGAGGAAUAUUGGUCAAUGGGCGAGAGCCUGAACCAGCCAAGUCGCGUGAAGGAUGACUGUCUUAUGGAUUGUAAACUUCUUUUAUACGGGAAUAACAAGAGUCACGUGUGACUCCCUGCAUGUACCGUAUGAAUAAGCAUCGGCUAACUCCGUG
rnacentral:rRNA from 1 species